rnacentral:rRNA from 1 species
UACGUAGGGUGCAAGCGUUGUCCGGAAUUAUUGGGCGUAAAGAGCUUGUAGGCGGUUUGUCGCGUCUGCUGUGAAAAUUUCGGGGCUCAACCCCGAACUUGCAGUGGGUACGGGCAGACUAGAGUGUGGUAGGGGAGACUGGAAUUCCUGGUGUAGCGGUGAAAUGCGCAGAUAUCAGGAGGAACACCGAUGGCGAAGGCAGGUCUCUGGGCCACUACUGACGCUGAGAAGCGAAAGCAUGGGGAGCGAACAGG